GCUGUGGUGCAUUGUAGUUGCAUUGCAUGUGUC
rnacentral:miRNA from 1 species